rnacentral:snoRNA from 1 species
AUUAGGAAACCAAAGAAAGAGGAGAGAGGCCGUGUCCACACUCAGUGUUCUGACCUGUGAACAUCUGAGUGAUUAAUAGCCUAACAUU